GCCCCCGUAGCUUAAAGCCAAAGCGUUCCACUUUUAAUGGAAAAGAUGAGGGUUGGAGUCCCUCCGGGGGUA
rnacentral:tRNA from 1 species